rnacentral:rRNA from 1 species
UACGGAGGGGGCUAGCGUUAUUCGGAAUUAUUGGGCGUAAAGGGCGUGUAGGCGGCUUCGUAAGUCUUGUGUGAAAGCCCUCGGCUCAACCGAGGAAUUGCACGAGAAACUGCGUGGCUCGAGUCCGGGAGAGGGUAGUGGAAUUCCCGGUGUAGUGGUGAAAUGCGUAGAUAUCGGGAGGAACACCAGUGGCGAAGGCGACUACCUGGCCUGUUCUUGACGCUGAGGCGCGAAAGCUAGGGGAGCAAACGGG